rnacentral:misc_RNA from 1 species
GGGUCUCUUCCUAUGGCCCAUGCAUUUACAAAAACUUGAGUAUUUUUGGGGAUGUGGUAACCCAUGAAAAGCUGACGAAUGGGAGCACUCUCAUUGACUCGCUUGUUGCUGAGGAAUUCCAUGGAGCAAAGACGCCUGAGCAUGCGCCAGUAGGGACCAUAGGGGCCGAAGGCAAGUGAAGCCUCUUUAUAGUUAUGAGACGUGAAAACAUCAAGAGACUUUCGAUCACAGAAACUGGAGUCGUGAUUCUAGGAAAGCUCCUCCGCUGCUUUUGCCGAUUGUACCACCAUUGUGUCCAUGUAUCCUAGUUUUAACCGAAGCACAGCUCCGUACUUGAACUUAAGAUCGUAUAGAGCUCGGUGUGGCAUCCUUCCAAGAUCGAACAUGUUUCCAAAAACUGGCUACCAUGGAGGCCCCGGAGGUAGGUUCUUGUUUCCAUUGUUUCCCCAUUUUUUCCCUUUUAGCCAUAGAAUUAGAACCAGUGAUAAAAAAAGACUUGACCAAACAUGGAGGGUGUAGAUUGUCUCCAUUUUCUCUUGUGUUUUGAAAUUGGUAGCUGCCACUAGCGCUUUCUUUAUCUCGUAUAAUAUAUUUAUAUAGCUUAUAAUGAAG